rnacentral:rRNA from 1 species
GACGAACGCUGGCGGCGUGCUUAAUACAUGCAAGUCAACGACUUUUAGAGUAGCAAUAUUUUAAAAGGAGUGGCGCACGGGUGAGUAACACGUAGGUAAUCUGCCUUCAGGACUGACACAACUCGUCGAAAGACGGGCUAAUAUCAGAUAAUGCAGCGGCUCCGCAUGGAGACAGUUGUUAAAGUACAAGCGCCUGAAGAUGAGCCUGCGGUCCAUUAGCUAGUUGGUAGAGUAACAGCCUACCAAGGCAACGAUGGAUAGCUGGUCUGAGAGGAUGAUCAGCCACACUGGAACUGAGACACGGUCCAGACUCCUACGGGAGGCAGCAGUAAGGAAUAUUGCUCAAUGGCCGAAAGGCUGAAGCGGCAACGCCGCGUGAAGGAUGAAUGGCCUUGGCCUGUAAACUUCUGUAAAAAGGGAAACAAUCAGGCAUGUCCUGAUUUGAUUGUACCUUUGAAGUAAG